rnacentral:pre_miRNA from 1 species
AAUGCAAUUGCUGGGGCAUAUGGUAAGAGUAUGUUUAGAUUUGUAAGAAACUACCAAAUUGUCUUUCAAAGUGGCUGUACCAUUUUGCAUUCCCACCAGCAAU